rnacentral:rRNA from 1 species
ACGAACGCUGGCGGCAUGCCUUAUACAUGCAAGUCGAACGCGAAAGUCCCUUCGGGGGCGAGUAAAGUGGCAAACGGGUGAGUAACGCGUGGGAAUAUACCUUAUAGUACGGAAUAGCCUCGGGAAGCUGGGAUUAAUACCGUAUACGCCCCAAGGGGGAAAGAUUUAUCGCUAUAAGAUUAGCCCGCGUCAGAUUAGCUAGUUGGUGGGGUAAAAGCCUACCAAGGCAACGAUCUGUAGCUGGUCUGAGAGGACGAUCAGCCACACUGGGACUGAGACACGGCCCAGACUCCUACGGGAGGCAGCAGUAGGGAAUAUUGGACAAUGGACGAAAGUCUGAUCCAGCAAUGCCGCGUGAGUGAUGAAGGCCUUAGGGUUGUAAAGCUCUUUAAGUAGGGAAGAUAAUGACGGUACCUACAGAAUAAGCACCGGCUAACUCCGU